rnacentral:misc_RNA from 1 species
GAUGAAGAACGUAGCGAAAUGCGAUAAGUAAUGUGAAUUGCAGAAUUCAGUGAAUCAUCGAAUCUUUGAACGCACAUUGCGCCCCCCAGUAUUCUGGCGGGCAUGCCUGUUCGAGCGUCAUUUCAACCAUCAAGCCCUGCUUGUGUUGGGGUCCUGCGGCUGCCCGCAGGCCCUGAAAACCAGUGGCGGGCUCGCUAGUCACACCGAGCGCAGUAGCACAUCUCGCUCAGGGCGUGCGGGGGGCUCCAGCCGUUAAAGCACCCACCUUUCGCAAGGUUGACCUCGGAUCAGGUAGGAAUACCCGCUGAACUUAAGCAUAUCAAUAAGCGGAGGA